ACGCUGCCACUUGCGUUUGCAUAUGGGAGCUGCAGAAGAUGACACUGUUGUGGAAGGAGGUUGACAGAAUGCCAA
rnacentral:sRNA from 1 species